CAAUAGCGUAUAUUAAAGUUGUUGCAGUUAAAAAGCUCGUAGUUGGAUUUCUGGUGGGAGCGAUCGGUCUGGCGCUUAGCGCGAGUACUUGCAUCGUCUCCGGCCAUCCUUGGGGAGAGUCUGUCUGGCAUUAGGUUGUCGGGCAGAGGAUCCUCAUCGUUUACUGUGAAAAAAUUAGAGUGUUCAAAGCAGGCUUAUGCCGUUGAAUAUAUUAGCAUGGAAUAAUAAGAUAGGACUUUGGUACUAUUUUGUUGGUUUGCGCACCAAAGUAAUGAUUAAUAGGGACAGUUGGGGGUAUUCGUAUUCCGUCGUCAGAGGUGAAAUUCUUGGAUUUACGGAAGACGAACUACUGCGAAAGCAUUUACCAAGGAUGUUUUCAUUAA
rnacentral:rRNA from 1 species